GCCUCUUUUUCAUAGUAGUGUCACACCUCCUUUUUACACACCUACCCCGAACGAUAAUGUAUAAGGGAGUUUUUCAUUUAAAGUGACAUUAUUUGGAUCGGGAUUAUUUAUUUAUUUAGAGUCACCACUUGGGAAAGGUUUGGCUUUUGGUGUCCCAAGUCACCGGUUUAGCUUGAAUCCCAAUUCGAGAAAAAUAUUCGACUUCCCAAUUGGAGUCUGUGAACCAGAAAUUCUGAAUAAGGAAUUAUGUUGACCCGAAGGAAGGUGUUAGGCACCCUCGGAUCCCGUGGUUCUAGCACGGUCGCUUAAAUUGAUAUGAAUGGCUAAAAUCUAAUUUUUGAUACAUGAAGAUCCUGUGUACCAAUUAUAUCUUUAACCGCUUUUAUUUAAUAUGUAUUUAUUUAAGAGAAAGUGAACAUCGUUUAAAGUGUGUUUUCGUAUUGCACCGCAUCAAAUUAACAUGCAAUCCUAGGCACACUCUAUUCAACGUUUUAGAAUUUGGUUUUGGGUCGCAGAAAAUAUUCGACUUCCCAAUUGGAGUCUGCGAACCAGAAAUUUCGAAUAAGGAAUUCUGUUGACUCGACGGAAGGUCUUAGGCACCCUCGGAUCCCGUAGUUCUAGCACAGUCGCUUAAAUUGCUAUGAAUGGCUAAAAUCUGAUUUUAUUACAUGAAGAGUCUAUGUGCCAAUUUUUACUUUUUACCACUUUUAUUUAACAUAAUAUUUAUUUGAGAAAGUUAACGUCGUUUAAAGUGUAUUUUCGGAUUGUGCCGCAUCAAAUGAACCCGGAAUCCUAGGCACACUCUAUUCAACGUUUUAGGAUUUGGAUUUGGGCCGCAUAAAAUGCUCACCCGUAUUUAGGAAGGUAAUAUUAUUAAAAUAACGCAACUAAAGCAACUACGCGUUUUCAACUGUGCGAGGGCCAUGGAAAAUUUGUUAAAUGGCACGCCUCGAUUUCUAAGGAUUUAAAGAAAUAAUAAAUGAGGCCCACACAUUUGUAAUUUUAUUUGGCAUGGCACGCCUCAAAUUAUUUAAAGCAGAGAUUUGUAUCCAACUAACAUUUUCCAAGUAAAUGAUACUCCCUGAAGAUAUCACAAUAGUAUUUUCUUUUCUGUGCUAAAGGAAAUAACAUCUAAAAUCAUAACUUCUGGAACUAAGAUCUUUUUUUUAAAAAAAACUGCAAAAAGAAACUAUGAAUAACAAUUCUCAUAUGAAAAGUAUAUUUAGACAAUGACAGAAGCAAGAUUCCAAGCUACCAACCAAUUGGCAAUCCAUAUUCUAAUACCAAUCACAAAGGAAAUAAUUGCAAACAGAUUUAUAUAUCUCCUCAUACCAAAUUAUGAAAUGGAAGAAAACUUGCAUUCAACUGUAUGAAUCGCUAUAACACAUCGGCUAUUGGAACCUUCAUAAUAUUCAAUAAUCGAAUGGAAAAUAUAGAACUUAGGAUGAAGAGCUACUGGACGGUUACUAUUACAAGUUCUCAUUCUCCACUGAACAUCCACAAAGACCAAAUGUUACAUAAAAAAACUAUGUACAUAGAACAAAUACCAAUGACCAACCUCACCUAUUGACACACAUAUAUUGAACAGUAAUCUAAUUCAAAUCCACUUAAACACAAGAAAUAGAAGCUUCACCGUCACUGUAUCAGUGAAGAAGCUAAAACGAAAUGACGUGACAUGGCUAAAAAGUAGGAAGGAAAAGAUAGAAGCUAUUUGCCAUUAAUCAGUUCAUAUUUUAAGAGGAAUAACCUCUCUGUUCCAAUUUAAGUGGUUACUACUGCAUCUCUUAUUCAAUGUUUAACACAUUUCUCACAUUUUUAUUUGAUUUUUUCCUUAAAACAGCAUAAACACAACGGAAACCAACUAAAUAAGAUCAAACGACUAACAACAACAUCCCUAAUUGAAAGUGGGAGUCGAUUAAUUGCUAUAGACAUUGUGUUUCAAAUUAACUCAUAAUUUUGUUCAAAUAGAAGAAAAAUAUACGUUCACUACACAUCAAAGUAGCAGUAAUCGGAAUUCAAGCAGAUCCGCAAAAUUAAACAGAAGUUCAACAAUUUUUAAUCAUUCGAUGAAGGUAUAAUACAGAGGAAUCGAGAACUCACCUAAUGGAACAUCAACAAAACGACUGAAACAGGCCAAAUGAAGAACCGAAAACAGUUGCGAUAGUGAGAGCUUGGUCAAUUCCUCAGCAACAGCAGAAACAACGUGAUUUCCAAUCUCAGCUUGAACACCCAGAGAUAUCAACUUCAAUUUCUGAACUGUUUUUAGUACAAAAUCAAUUCCGGAUUCUAUUGUUUUCCUUCUUCUUUCAGUUUUUUUUUUUCAGAUUUGGAUCUCCAUUUUUCUGUUAAUUUCUAUUGUAGAAGACCAGCAUGCAAAAGGAAUGAAAACAAAGGUGGAUUAGAAUGCAAAGAUAAGAAAGGGGUCUCAGAUUUGUUUUUUUGAAGAGAAAGGGAUUUGUUCGUGAUUUUGUGAGGGAAGGGGUCUCUCCUUUGGCGUCUGUGUUCUCCUCUUAGGAAAUGGGGGUAGUUUGGGGAUUUUCGCGUGUGUCCCUGAAGAGAGAAGAAGAAGGAAAGGGUAAAUAGCUAGAAUCCAACAGAAGGAAGCACGCUAUUUGCGUGUCUCUAAGGGGAAGGAGUUCGGACCGGGUCAGGGAA
rnacentral:lncRNA from 1 species